UACGAAGGGGGCUAGCGUUGCUCGGAAUCACUGGGCGUAAAGCGCACGUAGGCGGGUUCUUAAGUCAGGGGUGAAAUCCUGGAGCUCAACUCCAGAACUGCCUUUGAUACUGGGAAUCUCGAGUCCGGGAGAGGUGAGUGGAACUGCGAGUGUAGAGGUGAAAUUCGUAGAUAUUAGGAAGAACACCAGUGGCGAAGGCGGCUCACUGGUCCGGUACUGACGCUGAGGUGCGAAAGCGUGGGGAGCAAACAGG
rnacentral:rRNA from 1 species